GAUGAACGCUGGCGGCGUGCCUAAUACAUGCAAGUCGAGCGAACAGACGAGGAGCUUGCUCCUCUAACGUUAGCGGCGGACGGGUGAGUAACACGUGGAUAACCUACCUAUAAGACUGGGAUAACUUCGGGAAACCGGAGCUAAUACCGGAUAAUAUAUUGAACCGCAUGGUUCAAUAGUGAAAGACGGUUUUGCUGUCACUUAUAGAUGGAUCCGCGCCGCAUUAGCUAGUUGGUAAGGUAACAGCUUACCAAGGCAACGAUGCGUAGCCGACCUGAGAGGGUGAUCGGCCACACUGGAACUGAGACACGGUCCAGACUCCUACGGGAGGCAGCAGUAGGGAAUCUUCCGCAAUGGGCGAAAGCCUGACGGAGCAAAGCCGCGUGAGUGAUGAAGGUCUUCGGAUCGUAAAACUCUGUUAUUAGGGAAGAACAAAUGUGUAAGUAACUAUGCACGUCUUGACGGUACCUAAUCAGAAAGCCACGGCUAACUACGUG
rnacentral:rRNA from 1 species